rnacentral:rRNA from 1 species
UCAGGCCUAACACAUGCAAGUCGUACGAGGUGUAAAUAAUUCACUUGUGAAUUGUUUAUUACUACAGUGGCGCACGGGUGAGUAACACGUAAGAACCUGCCUUUUGGAGGGGGAUAACAUAGGGAAACCUUUGCUAUACCCCAUAAAGCUGAGGAGCUAAAUCGCAUUUGCGGCCAAGAGAGGGGCUUGCGCCUGAUUAGCUAGUUGGGGAGGUAAUGGCUUCCCAAGACCACGGUCAGUAGUUGGUCUGAGAGGAUGAUCAGCCACACUGGGACUGAGACACGGCCCAGACUCCUACGGGAGGCAGCAGUGAGGAAUUUCCCGCAAUGGGCGAAAGCCUGACGGAGCAAUACCGCGUGAAGGAAAAAGGAUCGUGGUCUGUAAACUUCUUUUCUCAGAGAAGAAGAU